AAAGAGGAAGCAGCCAGCCAACGUAUCCACAAUAUGUCGAUGAUAUUGCACCUAAUGAGGGAGAGUGGGAAGGGGGUCUAAGAGAAAAUGAGAGAGAUGAUGAUUCUGAGGCCACCCUAUCCCAGCCAUAUUAUUCACAUAUAAAGUCCCAACAGCAACAGUGUAGGGAUGAGCAUGACAGUGCAGGUGAGCAUGAAGGAUGGACAAGCUUCGGGGAUUUUGGAUUGGGAACACAACAAAACACUAACACUCAGGGAUUUAAGAAUUGUCAGACGCCUGCUAAUAUUGAUGAUUCGUUUUUAGAUCGAAUCAAUGAAUUGUCAAACGAAUUUAAUCAAUGGCACCAGCGUGACCAAGAAGAAC
rnacentral:lncRNA from 1 species